rnacentral:rRNA from 1 species
UGGGGAAUCUUAGACAAUGGGCGCAAGCCUGAUCUAGCCAUGCCGCGUGAGUGAUGAAGGCCUUAGGGUCGUAAAGCUCUUUCGCUGGGGAAGAUAAUGACGGUACCCAGUAAAGAAACCCCGGCUAACUCCGUGCCAGCAGCCGCGGUAAUACGGAGGGGGUUAGCGUUGUUCGGAAUUACUGGGCGUAAAGCGCGCGUAGGCGGAUCAGAAAGUUGGGGGUGAAAUCCCGGGGCUCAACCCCGGAAUUGCCUUCAAAACUCCUGGUCUUGAGUUCGAGAGAGGUGAGUGGAAUUCCGAGUGUAGAGGUGAAAUUCGUAGAUAUUCGGAGGAACACCAGUGGCGAAGGCGGCUCACUGGCUCGAUACUGACGCUGAGGUGCGAAAGCGUGGGGAGCAAACA